ACAAAAUGUCCUUCUCUAAGGUUGUUCCUCAGUUGACAACUAUGACAUAUCCAAAAUCAGAGCAAUCCAACUACUCUAGCUAUGUCUGUGGUAAGCAUGUUCGUCACUUCCUCGGAUUCUGCUGUUAUUACUGUACAGUACCUUAUUCACUCUUGUAUGUCACUUUUCCCUUGCUCAGAUGACAAAACUUCCUUCAUGAAGGUUGUUCAGAAGUCUUUUCGGCAGUGGUACACCUGAAACAAGCUUUUGUUAGUUUUCAAGUGUUGUUUGAGUUGGUUAUUUCUCUGUGGCAGCUUCACCCAGGAUUUCGGACCAAUAUUAAGGUAAAGUUUUAAGAUGCUUCGAUUUCUGGAAAUUUGUGUCUGAGUUGUUGGCCCAAGCCGGUUUUGAAAGUGGAAGGACCAAAAGAUAAUUUAAGUAAGUGUAAGUGCCAAAGUGCAAAUAAAGGAAAAUGUAAGGACCAAAGUAAAUUAUGGAUAAGUCUGAAAACCAGAAUGUAUUGGAAAAAGUAUAGGGGCCACUGUGAAAAUAAAGGUAAGUAUAAGGACAAAAUGUGUCAGGAAUGCUCAACCCAAACCUGACCCGUUUAAUAAACGUGUUAUGCACGGGUUGACUUGUUAAGUUCUCGUGCGGGUUUCGGGUUGUGUUGAGUUGACCCGCUAAGUGGUAGCAACUUAAAAACUUUUAUAAAAAAAAAUUAGAAAAAUGAAGAAUAAACAAAUAAAUGGGUUAGUGGGUUGGCGGGGUACAAGGGUUUUUUAGCGGGUUGGCGAGUUACAUAAGUAUUUUAGCGGGUUGGCGGGUUGACCCUCCAUAACUCGUUUUGUUAAACGGGUUAUAUAGGUAUUUCAACGGGUUGACAGGUUGACCCAAAACCUACCCGUUUAUUAAACGGGUCAUGGCGGGUUGACCUGAAAAUUACUCAAAUUUUAAUCGUGCGGGUUGAACUUGCUAAAUUCAAUUGCAGGUUUCGAGUCGUGUAACGGGUCGUACCCGAAAUUGCCACCCCUAGUUAUAAUGACUAAAUUGCAAAUAAGGAUUUUUAGUAACAUUUUUUAAAUGUUCGACUAGGAAUCAGUUGCCCAAGCAAGAACAAUUUGAGUUCAAAGGUGCAUAAUGCAAGUGAGACAUCAACUUUGGAUUCUAGAUAGGAGGAUUCACUCUCGGACAUGUAUUCUUGUGUAUGUAUGACAUAGUAUAUAUUUUUGUGUGUGAAAACUGCAAUGUUUGUGAUUGCCUAAUUAACACUUUAGUUUUUCUUUAUUUUCUUUACUAUUUAUUUAUUUUUGUUGGGUGAGCAAAACAUGAGUGGUUCCUUUACACUUUAGUAGGAAAACUCUUGUUUGUAACUUUUGUAAUAUUCUUUCUUUAUUUUGGGUAUUAAGGGCCGGUUUUUUACUUUCUUCGGUUCCAUUGCUUUUCUUCUUUUUCUUGUUCUAUUUCUCUCAUCUUACAACACAAAUAUUUAUACAUCGAUCUUUAUUUCUCCAGUCUUUGUAGGUAGUUAUUGUAUGGCUUUAGUGGUAUACUGGGCAUUCGGAUUGCGGAUAGUGCUAAUUUGCCGCUAACUCCAGGUUUGUUUUUCUCAGACAUUUUAAAUUUGACUUUUGUACUUUUGUUUUUUGUUUUUUAACUAUGAGGGAGAAAUCAAAUAGUGCUCAUUUGACGUUGAUUACUUUGAUAAAAAUCACUUUCUUUGACAACGAAGUGUUAGAGUAAAUAUACAUUUAUAUAUAAAAGGGUUGCCAUAACUAUUGAUGACAAAAAUUAGCAUAAACUGUACAGAAAUUGCUCCCAAAUUCUUUGAAACCACUGUGAAGCUGAUCUACUACAAAGAACAUUUGAUUUUUUUUUUUUAAAAAAAAAACCGUGCAUGCUAAACUUUUGUUUUAGGGGUUCACAAAAAAGUGGUGGGCCUAUUUGGGAGUGCUAAAAGCGCUUUCUGACAAACAAAGCACUUUUGACAAUGUUUGGCAUAAAAUGUUAUAAGUGCUUCUAGGUCGUGGAAGCGCUUUCUAGAGAAGAACCUACUAUGUGCUUUUUCAUGAAGUACUUACAAGUGCUUUUCUAGGAAGCAAUUGGAUUUCUUAUGAAAAUUUUAACAUCUUUAAAAGCGCUUUUGCCAGAAGCCCUUGUGAGCAGAAUUGCUUUUUAGAGAAGCAGUCCCAAACAAGUGUUAGAAGUGCUUCUUUCCAACAAGUAGGUUAAAGGUUUGAGUCCCCUUUGGCACAUACUUUUUGAAACAUUCUUCACAACCAGUUCCGUUCGAUUUGUUGACCAAAACCAAAAAUUAAGUGAAAAAAUCCAAACCAACCUAUUCAGUUUGGUCGGUUUGGCAGUCCAUCGAUUUUAAAUUGCAGCCCUAGGUAAAAUGGGAUAUGGGGUGACAACUAUGGUGAGAUAGAGGGUGGGGUGUACACACACAUACUUGUAUGGAUUAAUCGCAAACCCAAUAAUACACAAUCUACUCAUAAGACAAAUAGGGUGUUUAAGAUUUAAGGACUAGUCUUCAUUAUUGCGACUUAAUAUUCUUGUUUGACAUAUAAGUACAAUUUCCAUAAAAAACUAUUGAUUGAUCGCAUUUAGUAAAUAAACCAUCUAUCGAGCACAUGCAUACUUUUUUUAGUGUCUCGUCAUUAAUUUAAUUUAAUUUCUAAGAACAUCUACAAUCAUGCUCUCUAUUUUUUAGUUAAAAUAUAGCUAAAAACACACAAAAAUUAUUUUGGGAGCUCUCUAUAAAAUUUGAACUCCAAUCAUACUCCCUAGUUUAGGGAGUCAUAAAUACUAUAAAUAUUUUUGAUUCAAUGUAAUUGGUCAAUCUCUAUAAAAGAAAAUAUAAAAUUAUUUAGUAUUAAUUAAAAGUUUAAAAUAUGCAUAAAACAAAGCGGCAUUAAAUUAUAGGAAGUCACUAAGAGUCCUUUCUCUCUCUUCAGAUUUAGGAGCUCCUAGAGGUCUCCCUAUUUUAGGAGGUGGAUAGGGAGCUUGGUUGGAAUUGUAAUUUUCCAAUUCAACUCAAAAAUUUGUCCGAUGAGGUGGGUUAGGGAGCCCAUUGUGGAUGCUCAAGUAAAUAUAGGUAAUAUCCAUAAAAGAUUACAUAAAAUGAUUAGGUUUUAUGGGAUACUUCCCACACAAUAUAUAGUGGAACAAUAUUAUAGGUGGCCCUAUGAGUUGGGCUUCACUAACCAUCUAUUGAUCGAGUGUUUAUGGUUGGCUCGACUGAACUCAUUUUUUAAGGGAGGUUAGAGCAUCUACAAUGGACUUCCUAAAAUACUUUUUUAGACAAAUUUUAAAUUUAAGGAGAGUCCCUUUAAUUUAAUACUCCUUUAUUUUAAUAGUAUUUUAACCAUUUAUUUAAUGUCAACUAUUUUUUGUUGUGGCUUUUGUGUAUGCACUUUAUUCAAAAAUUGAAUUAAAAAAUAUUAAUAAUAUUUCUGACUCUUUAAAUUAAGUAGUAUGGUUGGAGUUGAAAUUUGUUAGAGAACUCCUAAAAUAAUUUUCUAGCAUUUUUAGCUAAAUUUUAAUUAAAAAAAUAUUGAGCAUGAUUGUGGAUGCUCUUAAACUCAAGUUUAGCCUGAGUUUAUUAAAAAAUAAACCAAAUGCAAAUAAGAAUGAUAAUAUAUAUAUCUAUAUAUAUAAAGCAAAAGUCUAAGAAUAGGGAAAUAUUCAAAAUACUAGAAAAUGCCCUUGGUUAAUUCAAACAUUAGGAAUUGAAAUUAUUAUUUAAAUGAGGAUAAUAUGGUAAAUUCACAUUUUUUUCAUAUUAAAAAAAAAUAAAAAACAAAAUUAGAUAAUAGGUCCUAUUUUUAUGGAAUACUAGCCCCUUGGGCACCACGCAUGUGCCAAUUGGUUUUCUUGUUUUAUUUUAUUUUUAGAAUUAAGAAAAGAUAACAUGGGUAGUUAUGUUCCAUAAAAAUAGGACAUAUUAUCUGAUUUUAUUUUUAAUUUUUUUAAUAUAAAAAAAUGUGAAUUUACCAUGUUAUCCUCAUUUUAUUAAUAAUUUCAAUUCUUAAUAUUUGAAUUAACCAAGGGCAUUUUCUGGUAUUUUGAAUGUUUCACCAUUCUCUGUCUUUUGCUUUAUAUAUAUAGAUAACUACUCAUGUUAUCUUUUCUUAAUUCUAAAAAUAAAAUAAAAAAUAAAAAAUAAAACCAAUUGGCACAUGCUCACGCAUGUGACAAGGGGCUAAGCUAAAAGACCGAUCAUCCCUGUGAGGAAAAUCAAUUGGCACAUGCUCACACAUGCUCACGCAAGCUAUUUCAUAAAAAGAUGUGAGCUGCUAACGAGAUUUGUCAGCUGGGCACACCAAAGCUCAAGCUUGGGUCAUUUUAACAAGGGGAGUAUUUCACUUAGACUCCCUGAAGUUUGGUAUAACAACCCAAACACCCCAAGAACCUAAGCCCAGAAAACCACCUUACUCUCGUCGCUCAUAAUCAUCGUUUCAAACCUGCUGUGAUUGACAUAGAAACUAAAGUUUAGUUGCAUAUCUAGAAACACUUAGUUUCAAAUCUAAUGAAACCAAAUCACCAUCCAUAAAACAACCUGAAAUUAGAUGGGAGGAUUUCAAAUUAAAUUGAAACAGAGCAUCGCGUCGGUUGUAUAUCAUUAUCAUAUGAAUCCACUGAUGAUGGGAUGAUUGAGAGAUCUAAGAAUCCCAUUACCUUGAGCAAAUCAAGUGUUGACUUGACUUUUUCAUAGUUAAAAUUGUAAGUGUUGAACCGCUUGCAUUUUUCAUUUGAGAAUUUCCUUGGUCUCUUUUUUUUUUGACAACCCAGAACUCCACUUCCAGCUUUGCUGAUUCAGGUCCCAAACUGCCGAACCCUACAAUCUUUGGCGGGCAAGGAAACCCCAAACAGGCGGUUCCCCAACCACUACAUGACAUCUUUCCAAUUAAUUGUAAGAUUGUAAAGCCUGACAUUUAAGACCAAACUUUAACGAAACAAUAUCUUAUAAAAAGAUGUGAGUUUCUAACGGCCUUUGUGAGCUCAAUCUUGGGUCACCUUAACAAGCCUUAUCUUUUAUUCCAACCAAGCUUCAACCAGCCAAAAACUAGCUGAACAUGAGUCCGACUCAAACUGUAUCGAUUUGAUUUAGAGCCAUAGUGAUUGUACAUUUUAAAAUUGAGCUAAAAUGAUAACAAUAAAAUCAAUGACUGGUAUCCAUAAAUAAUGAGUUGGAAUUCGACCCAAAAUUGUGCACAUUUUACUGUUUGUUCUUGUAACUAUGACAAUGCAUUUUUUUUUUUUUUUAAAUGUUAUGAGACUUGAUUGGUGGGGUUUUGGUUGGUUUACCUUACUUUUUCAUAAUAAAAAUUGUAGGUGUGGAAUCGCUUGCAACAGUUUCAUUUGGUUUGAGAAUUUCCUUAGUCUCUGGUGGCUUUAUAUAAAAAGGCAACAGAAAAUGGAAGAGAUUGGUGCUUCAAUUGUAUCUAAAAUUGUAGAAGAACCAGUGGCACUAAUUGGGAGACAACUCAGCUAUCUAAUAUACUACGAUUCUAACAUAGAAAGUCUAAAGGAUGUGCUUAAAAACCUUGAUGACAAGAAAAAUGAUGUGCAAAGAUCUGUGGAUGCUGCAAAAAGGAAUGGUGCAAUCAUUAAAGAUCAAGUUCAGAGUUGGUUGGAGGAAGUAAGCAAAAUAUUUCGUGAAGCGGAAGAACUUGAAACCAAACUCAACAUGCAAAGGCGGUGCCCAAGUUUGAAAUCGCGGUAUUCUCUGAGUAGGAAAGCCAAGAAGAUUGCUAAGUGUGCCCUUGAUCUCAAACUAGACGAAGGACUGAGUAAUAAUGUUGCCAAUCCUGCACCUCUGCAACAGCUGGGGUCAAUUAUCUCUAGUGAAGGUUUUAAGGGUUUUGAAUCCAGAAAAGAUGUCAUGAAUGAUGUGCUUAGUGCUUUGAGGAAUGAAAAGACAAGAAUAUUUGGGAUUUGCGGGAUGGGAGGUGUGGGUAAAACCACAAUGGUGAGAGAAAUCAAAGAAAUCAUCAAGAGAUUACAAGGAACAAAUAAGCUGUUUGAUGAUGUUGUGAUGUCAACUAUAUCCGCAACUGUAAACAUUAGGAAAAUUCAAACUGAAAUUGCAGAGUCACUAGAUAUGAAAUUGGUCGAGGAAAGUGAAUCUAUAAGAGCACAAAGGCUACAUGAGAGAAUCAAGCAGAGUAAAAGAAUCCUGAUUAUAUUGGAUGAUGUAUGGUCAGAGCUUAAAUUACAGGAUGUAGGAAUCCCUUUUGGUGUUGGACCUACAACUAAUCAAGUUCAUGAAGGGUGCAAAAUUUUGUUGACAUCUCGAAAUGAAGAAGUUUGUAAAGUAAUGGGUUGUAAAGAUGACAUUUUUGGAGUCCAAGCCUUAAAUAAAGAAGAAGCAUGGGAGCUUUUCAGGGCGACUGUAGGUGAAUCCUUGGACAAUAAUCCUGAUUUGUCUCAUGUUGCAAAAUUGAUUGUUGAUGAAUGCAAAGGUUUACCCAUUGCUAUCAUAACUGUUGGGAAAGCGCUUCUACCAAGUAAUGGCAAGCAUGAAUGGAAUACUGCCUUGCAAGAACUGAAAAAUUCCCUCCCUGAAAACAUCCCUGGAAUGGAACCUGAGGUUUAUUCUUGCAUAAAAUUGAGUUAUGAUAAAUUGGAUAGUGAUGAAGUCAAGUCAUGCUUUUUACUUUGUUGCUUAUUUCCAGAAGAUUAUGAUGUUCCGAUUGAGUAUUUGGUGAGGUAUGGGUUGGGUCGAGCAACUUUCAGAAACACCAACACAGUCGAAGAUGUAAGAAACAAAGUGCAUUCUUUCGUUGGACAACUAAAAAGAAGGUAUUUGUUGCUGGAUAGUGAAAAGGAAGAAUGUAUCAAAAUGCAUGACAUAGUUCGUGAUGUUGCUAUAUCAAUUGCCUCAAAAGAUCCUCACAGAUUUAUGGUAAGAUCAUUUGAUGCUGAAGGUGGAGGUGGAGGACGACCAGGGGUACAAAAAGUUACAAACCAAGAACAUUGCAGUGCAAUUUCAUUAAUUGAUGUUAAAUUGGAUGAAAAUAUUACUGAUGGUUUGGAGUGCCCCAAACUUGAGCUUCUACAACUGAAAAAUUCCUCAAGUAGUUCACAAUAUUCGAACCACUUUAAAAGAAUGGAAGAACUCAAGGUUUUGGCUUUCUUAGAGGUGAAUAUGUCAAGCUAUUUGGCCUCGGAAAAAUCUCUACUGCUUGGAGAACCCAAGUACCUUCAUACCUUGUGUCUAGAGGAUUGCAAAUUGGGAGACAUAUCCCAUGUCAUUGGAGGAUUGGAGAAUUUGGAGAUCCUCAGCUUUGCUCGCUCUGAAAUCAGUAAGUUGCCUAGAGAAAUAGGACAUCUUCAUCGGUUAAGGAUGCUGGAUACAACAGAUUGUGAAGGACUUGAAGAAAUUCCUCAUGGUGUCUUAUCCAAGUUAAGGAGAUUAGAAGAGUUGUACAUGGCAGAAAGCUUUCUCAAUUGGGCUCCAGCAACAGGAAGCAAGGAUGAAACGAGCAUGGCAAGCCUUGAUGAGGUGACGUCUCUAUCUGAUCAUUUAAAUGUCUUAGCCAUAAAAAUCCAUGAUGUUCAGAUGUUGCGGAAUGAUGAGUUUCUUUUAAGAAGUCAGCCUAUAAGAUUUCAUGUAUCUAUCAAUAUUAGUUGGUCAUACAAAAAAGAGAGUUUCAAGAAUCGAAUGCGUGGUUAUCUGUUCGAAAAUAGUUUGAUGCUUCGUGGUGAUGUAAAGGAAUAUUUGGAGAUUGGAGCAGUUAGAUACUUCUUGAAGCAAUCUGAAGACUUAAGCCUACGCCACACAUACAAUUUAAAGUAUGUCAUCGAGAAGUUAGACGAUCAAGGGGGCUUUCAACACUUGAAAGUGUUAUCAAUCAUGUAUGACAACAACAUAGAGUAUCUUAUGAAUGGAACAGAUUGGACUCGUCGUGGUCAACCUGCCUUUCCCAUCUUAAAAUCAGCUACCUUUGAGUAUGUUGACAAACUAAAAGUUUUGUGUUGUGGCAAACUACCAGACAAGCGCUCUUUUAUGAACCUGAAAUCUAUUGUAAUUGACAAUUGUCAUGAGUUAAAAUAUGUCUUUUCACUAUCCGUAGCACAAAACUUGGUACAACUCCAGAAAUUAAUUGUUAAAAACUGUCAGAAAGUGGAAGAUAUCAUAUCAAGGGAAAGAAUGGAAGAUGAUAAUGCAUCUCACAGGAUAAGUUUCCCAAGAUUAACUGUUUUGAAGCUUUAUGAUCUACCCAAGCUCCUUGGUUUCUACACGGGAAACCAACGGGACUCCACCUAUGAGGUAUGUAUGUAUAAACUUUUGAUGCUUGAAUGGUAUAUACUUGUUACUCUUUGGAAUAUGCUACUUUUGUUGUGUUUAAUACUGUCGUUCCAGUUCUAGAAGUUGGUUUGGGUAAAACUUAAUCAUUUUUGGUAUGUUAGAGAUUUUAGAUGCAUUUCAAUUUUUUGCAACUAUUUUAUAGAUAUUUAAUAAAAAAAUAUUUCUGAAAAAAUCACUUGAAUCAUAUAUCAUUUGACCACUCAAUUAAAUUAUUGUGAUUUUAGUACUUUCUUGAAGCAUUGUAUUCAUCAAUUUUGUAGAACAUAAUUAGAUAUCGAAACGGUUUCCGAAUUGUCUAAUUUUUUGUAAGUAUAAUCUAUGAAUAUAGACUUGAGAAAUAGGCGGUUUGGAUAAUUGAAAAACAAUUUGUAGUGUGUUUAGAAUGUCCCUUAAUAGAAGGGGACUAUAUUUCUAAAUCUUCACACCUAUGAUUUUCAUUUGAAAAUUUAAGUUGAGAUGUCCUUAGAGUUAAAAAUGUUUAUUGGUAAAUAGUAAUUGACGGUAGGAAAAGGGGAGUAUUAUUAUUUCUCAAAAUUUAUGACACAGGAUGUGGGAAUAUAAUUAAGGCAAUUUGGAAAUAAGACAAAUUGUGGAAGUUCAUUACUUAUGUAUUUCUUUCUUUUUGGCUCAUGUGUAAGUUCAUUAUUUAUGUAGAAUUAAUUAAUGUACAGAUUAUAAAGCCCAAUGAUGAAAGUGUGAAUAAGACGAAAGAGACUAGGAAUGACAAUCAAGUUGCUGGGUCGACCUCAUCUAGAUCAAAAGUAGCACAAGUGGGAGCAAGUUGUAAUGCUCUAUUUCCUUCAAAUUGCAUUUCAUGGUUACCAAAUCUAGAGAAACUAGUGUUGAUAGAUUCGACAAGUGAGCAAGGCUCAGAAGAACUAGUAUUCAAUGUGGUAUUUGAUUUAGAAGGGCAUAAUUCAGCAUUUUCUCAAUUACAAACAUUCCAAGUGUUUUCUUUAUAUGGAGUUGAACAUUUGUGGAAGAACGUUCAACCUGGAUUCCAAGGUUUUCAAAAUGUAAGAUCUUUAGAUAUUCAAGAAUGUAGGAGUCUAAAAUAUCUAUGCCCUUAUGAAAUUUACAAGCUCCUUGUGAAUCUCGAAGAAGUCCAAAUAUAUGAAUGUGAGAAUAUGGAAACUAUAGUACAUGAAGAAGGGAAAGAGACAGGUGGCAGUGGCUCGAUGACUUUGUUUCCCAAACUAAUUAAUAACAUCAUACUAGACAACUUGCCAAACCUCGAGAGAUUUUGCCCUGAUGCCCAUUCUUUUGCAUGGUCCUCCUCCACGAGAGUUCUGCGUGUGGAAUUUUGCCCCAAAUUAAAGACAUUGGGUUUUGAACUAGUAAGCAAAAAUCUACCUGCAGCAGUUGCAGAGAAUUUGAGUGAUGAUCAUGUAAGAGGUAGAGAAGAAUUAGGAUCUGACUGCGCAUCAUCAACUGGAUCUGGAUUUGGAUUUGGAUGUGCGCCACUAGUCUGCUUACAAAGUCGUCCAUCUACUCGCAACUUUACUCAAAUAUUGCCCCGCCCUGUAAAUAGAGAGGUACAUAUGUCAUUAUUCUAGACUAUGCUUCUCAAUUUAGUGUCUAUAAUUGGUCUUACGUACAGAUGUCAUUGAAAAUAAAAGAAAAAUAAAACAAAAAAGUAGAGUUAAAUGGGCUUGCCCCAAGCACGGGCCAUGACAAUUGUAAACACUUGUUAAUUUUCAUUUGGGAAAUCAUCACCAUUAUUUUCGCAAACAGUCUUAUUAAUAUCUAGAAUGUCAUGGUAAACAACGUUCUUGAUUUCUAGAAUGUGAUAAUAUCCCAUAUGUUUAUGAUUGAAAUACUAACAAAUUAAUAUACAAUUACUUUUCUACCAUUUUUCCAGGUAACGCCGACAAGUGCUACCCACAAUCUAGAAGAUCUCUUUGUAGAAAAGUGCGAUUUAUUGGAAGUGAUAUUUUUGGUUCAGGAAACCCCUUCUACUCAAGCAUUUGAUAAGCUGAGGCAAUUGAAUUUGUGGAGGUUACCAAUGCUGAGCCACAUAUGGGAAAAGGGUUUACAAGUUAGCUCAGGCUUUGGAAACCUGAGAUUACUAAAAGUACAGUCCUGUCACAAUUUGAGAUACUUGUUUUCACCGCACAUAGCCAAACUUCUUACCUACCUUGAGAGAAUAGAAGUUUCCUGGUGUAGUGCGAUGGAGAAAAUUGUUGGAGAGGCAGAAGGAGGAGGAGAAAGUAUUGAGGAUGAAUUGACAUUUCCGCACGUAAAUUCCAUCUUACUUGGGCGUUUACCCGAACUUGAAUCUUUCUGCUCUGAAGCUUAUACUUUGAAGUGGCCAGCCUUGGAGAAAGUCGAAGUUCAAAAUUGUCCAAAAUUAAAAGCGUUUGCUCCUGAGUCUCUAUAUGCAUAAGCAGCCAACAUGUGUCUAUGAAGCGUCCACGUGGAAAGAAAAGAAGGUAUGUUUUCAAUUCAACCAAGCACUCUGGUCGGUCACUAUAAAAUCAGUAGAAGAUAUAUGUAUAGCUUAAUAUAUUUUCAUGAAUUGGCGUUGCUUUUUAUUUUUCUUUGCCUUAUCUUUCUCAUGUCAUUAGUCCAUCUCCACGUGUUUAAGCUAUAUAUAUAUAUAUAUGUCUCGUUAAAAUGCUUAUUUAUAUAUGGCUCGUUAAAAUGCUUCUAAGGAUGGUAUCAUUUUUUGAAGUAGUACUUAACCAUUAAUAUUUUUCCAACAGCAUGCAUUUUCUAUUUUAAUCAUAGAUAAUAAUUUUUUUAUUCUUUAUUUUGCAUAAUCUUUGAGAAGAAUAUCAUCAGAAGCCAAGAAGCUAGGGACAACACUACAUGACAUGUUACGGUGCACAUCUACAUGACAUACCAAUUUCGUUACUGUUGAUAUUUUUGAUUAAUGUUCCUCAUAUCCUGCCAUUGCAUCUCUUUGAUCAGAUAAUUUAGUUAUUAUCUUUAGUUGUAUUAUAAAACUGGAUUUAUUUGGACCUUCCUUUUCGUAUGUAAUAUUACCAUAUUGAAUCUUUGGAUGUUUGGCUCAACUGUUGGUAUCUAGUUAAUCAAAUUACAAGCAUCAUAGUUUUAAAUUAUAUAUAGUUUAAAUUAUAUAUAUGUAUAAAUUAACCAAAGUUGUUAAUAGAAAGAUCCGUGUAACUCAUACUAAACAUUAGGGGUGGGCAUCUUAAACCGAAAUACCGAAACCAUACUCUAACUGCACCGUACCAUACCGAUUUCAUACCGUUUCAUUAGUUAUGGAGAGAUAUUCGGUACCAUACCGUACCGUACCAAUAGGGUAUGGUAUGGUAGCGGUAUCAAGAUUUUGGUACCUGUAUUUUCAAUCAAUUCAAUAAGAUGAUCCAAAGGUUGUAAUUGGCUCCACAAUCAAGAUCCCGCCAAAACUAAGUCCAUAACUAAAUGAAAAAAAAACAAAACAAAACUAGUCAUAACUCAGGAAGACGACAGAGACUUGCAUAAAAUAUAUAGAACUCGUUCCCAAACUGUUCCAAAGCAAUGGGGAGUUAGUCUACUGUACCGAACAUUUGAUAGAAAAUUGUUCACACUAAACAUUUAUAUUCUUCAUUUAUUACCACUUUAAACAUUUAAUUUGAAUUAAGAGAGAAAUUCCCCCCGUAUUUAAGGCAAUUCUGGAGUUGGUCUUUGGCAAGUAGAAUAAUGUCACAAAACACAGAAUUGUAAGCAAGCAAUUAACCCUAUAAGUGAGAGUGGUUGGCAGCAGUGGCGGAUCUAGGAAUUUUCAUUUCGGGGGUCAACGUGUAAAAGGUUAAAAAAAAGUCCAUACAAAAUAGACCUAUUGAAAUGAAACGAUAAUACUCUAAUUCAUAGUUAAUAGAUAAAACCAAACAAAAUACUCGUGUUCAUUAUCAAAGAGAACUACAUCAACUUUAAAAAAUAAACACACAUUGCAAUACACUGGAAAUAUCUCUAAGAAUGUGAUAAUAAACCAAAAAUUAGCAUAAUCCUCUUCGUCUCCCAAAGCGUCUCGACCUAUUCGACAUAAGAACUGGCAUAUAUUAGCGUAAUCCUGCUGAUUUUAGGGCAUUUGCGUCAUUUUUUAGGUCUGUCGUAGGUUUGACUUUGGGCUUUAUCUGCAUUUCUUUUGGGUUCUAGCUCCCAAACUUUGGGUUCUUAUGAGUAUUGUCUUAGGGGGAGCUUACUCAAGCAAAAUAUUUCUUCAAUACGUAAGAGUUAGGUUAUUCUUAUAAAACUCUUUGUGGAUUGAACCUCUAUGGUUUUUUACCUAGAUUGACCUUAGGUCCCUUCAUGCAUUCAUAUCACACAUGAAAAAUUAUUUUAUGUAAAAAUAUUGGCUAAGUAUGAAAAAUGGUUUUUCAGAAGAAUCUUUUUCUCAAGAUAAUUUUUGGCUGCUUUUAUUCCUUACACAUCAAAUAAGAAAACUUGAUUUUAUGGGAUUUCAGUAUGAAGUAUAUAUUGACUUAAUAAGCCAUAAUUUUUAGUCUAAAUCGUAUUUUGCACUAAAAUCAAAUUUUCAUAUUUUGAUUUGGUGGGAAUAUGAUUUCUAGUAUUUUUAUUUGAAUCCAAACGGGGGGUACUUUCUUAUUUACAUUCUUUUUACUUUCAUUUAUUUUAUAUUACUCCAUUUUGAAAAUGAAAAUAAAUAAAUGAAUCACAUCAUCUACCCAUUACUUCAUAAAAAAGAAUAAAAAUAAAUAAAUGCAGAAAAAUUGCUACCUCUUCUCUUUCACGCCAGUAACUUGCCCUCUUUUCCCCUUUCACUUUAUUGUCUUGUGUUGCACAAUUUGCCUCUUUUUUUCCACACCUCUCACAUUUGUCAACAUCUACUACCCUACCUACCAAUAUUCAUCCCUUUAUCUCUCUGUCUAUUUCCUCGUAGACACUCUCUUUGUCAUUGUUUACCUUUUUUUAUCUUUAAUCCCUCUCGGUCAGCGAGUCCACUCCUCUCUUUCGGUGGUCUCCCUUACUUUUGUACUAUCUUCUCAUAGCUGUUAUAAAAUAACUGGGAUAUGUGCGAAUAUUGAGCUGCACGUAAAGUAGAUGAGACACAGUAUUUAACGAGGUUCAGCUAUGCCUACGUCCUCGGAGAGCAGUAACAGUAACUUUUCACUAUGUAAAAUAAUAGGGCUACAACUUUGUGUUUACAAUAUGUAUGGCUCACUCAAUUUUCUCUCUUGGAGAAUUUCUCUCUUGCUCUCUUUCCUCUCAACUCACUCACCCUCAUUCUUCCUUCUCUUCCUCUUCUAUAUGUGUAAACUUCUCUUGAUGGAGGUAUCUAUUUAUAGGCCUAAGACAUUGGUUGUUCACCUCACAAUAUAAUUGGUAGACAACAUCAUUAAUAUUCUUCAAUCAACAACAUCAUUAAUAUUCUUCAAUCAACAACAUCAUUAAUAUUCUUCAAUCAAUUAGGUAGUGGUUUGGUUUGGUGGGUGUGUGGUUAGGUUUAGUGGGUGUUAGUUGGCUAUGUGGGCUUCACCUAUUCUUCUUUACUUAUUCUUCUUUACAACACUCCCCCUUGGAGACCACAUGUCCCUAGAUUGGUUGCCUCAUUAAAACCAUGCUUGGAGAAAAACCCAGUGAGGUAGAAAACUGAUGGAAGGAAGAAAAAAGAGUACAGCAAUCUGUAUAGCAUACUUCUGGAUGCUCCCCCUGAUUAAUAUCUCCCCCUGAUGUCUUCAUGACUAUCUUUUGGAGUGAGAAUCUUUCGGAGUGAGUGGAGGAUAUAGCCAUUAAUAAUUCUCGUAGUUGAGUAAGUAAAUAUAUUUCCAGUGAGCUAUCUCUAUGUAAAUCAUAUAAAUUUUCAGAGUCCGCGUUUCUAACAAAACUUGGGCUAUUUGUAAGUUCACUUGAAAGAAUAUGCCCGUACAUGGUGUUAUGCGGAGAUAGCAUCAAAUAUACCUCACAUCAUCCCAAAAUGAUGGUGAUGGAGUUGAGCCAUAUCUGGAAAAUAUGAUGUCCGGUCCAAUAUACUUCCGGAAAAUCAUUAAAGUGUCCAACGGAUAAUCCUCAUAAAAAUGCUUCAAUACUUUCUUAGUAUAAGCAAGAAUCUCGUUGGCAUAAUGCUCGAUCCUUAAGUCGAGACAAAUAUUUCUUGAACUCUUCAGAAGCUUUAAUGUGUUGCAAACACAUUAUAAUCAAUGUACUCACUGAGGUAAUUUAUGCAUAUUAAUAUUGAGUACAAAUUUUGUGCUUCAAGCACAUGUCCUUUAGGGACUUGCUUUAUGCAAUGUCAAUCCUCUCAACGGAUUUUGUUUAAAAGGGAUUAAACUUUAUGACACAUUAUAUAGCUUUAACCCAGCUAUUUAUACAUCUUUAGGAAAUCGCUUCUGGCGAUAUGCUCCGUGCAUUUAAUAACCCUUAAAGAUAAUAUGUUGGUCUCCGUAAUUGUGUAAUAAGGGGGGCACAAUUGAAUCUGUAAAUAUGGAGAAAACCCAACAUUCUUUGUUUCUGCCAGAAACAGUGUGUCAUACAAAGUAGGUAUAUUCCCUUUUAUUCUGAACACCCAAGUAUAAAUUUCAGUAUUAACAUCUUUUGGGGUUCGUAUUGUGGGUUUGUUCUUUCACGUUCAUUCUCAUCUAUAAUGGAAUUACCUCAUUCCAUUUUGGCCAAGGAUAUUGUCGACAUUUAAUAACUGAACGUGGUUCCAAUCAACACAGCCCAUUGAUGAUUUGAGUAGCUACUCCAAAACUAAAAAUUGUCAUUCAUCAAUUCAUGAUCUCAUCAUUCUCAUUUGCACGUGCAUGCAUCAAUUAUAAGCAUUUCUUUGCUUUUGGGUACCCAAGCCACUUCAUGGGGCUUUUAUUAUGUGAGAAUGUGGAUUAUAACCUCCAAUGGAGCGUUAUUUUACAGUCGGGCGUGGAUAAUCUCUAUUUUAGGGAGUUGGAACAUUUAGAACCCAUAUAUCUGUCAUGCUGCAGGCAUGCCACAGAUUAAUACAUACAUGUCAAUUAAUUUCUGGGACUAACCCAUACAUACGCAUUAGGCGUGCACAAUAUCAAUAUUGACAUGUCAAAGGAUUGUCCUUUCGGGACUUCAAUCCACAUCAUUUGCUACGCAACAGGCGUGCAUCAUAUUGAUCACUGCUAUACCUAUAUCCUGUUCUUAUGGGAAUUUAAUCUGUGUAGUGUAUUAUCAAUGUAUCCAACUUGCAAUCUGUAAAAUUUGCAUUAAUAAUUCAUGGAUACAUACAAGCCAUUCUUUUGGAACAGACUUAUCUCCCCAUUUGGUUACCUUUCAAGAUAAAAUAUCAAAUAAGUAUAUAAGCACAAAUACUGCUUACAUCCUUAGGUGGGAGAAACUUUUCUCAAGUAUCAUUCAAGCUCGUAUCGGCCCAGUAAAUAUAAUGUAGCGCUUGAUGAUCUAGUUAUAUCCUGCAAGAGCAAAAUCACAACUCUUUUCUCUGUCAAAAACAAAUAACCCUCAGAGUUAGGAUCACUCCAUGGAUUCUUUCUUCAGAUGUUCAUUCUAAAGAAAUAAAAUCUCUUAUGAACAGAGAGUUAUAAAAAGAGAAAAAAUGCAAAAAUAAUGUGAUAUUGAUUGCAAGAGAAGGUAAGCAAUCAAGGAAGAAAGCUGGUGGGAGCAGACAACAAGCUCAGCAAUCAAGGAAGGAAGCUGGUGGGAGCAAACAACAAGCUCUCAUUUCUUCUAGUCUAGAAGAACUUCCGGAGAUUAGAGCAUAAGGUUGCCUUCACAGUUCCCUGAUGUGGCGGAAACGUGAUCAGGGAUAGUCUCUCUUCCUGAAUGGAUGAUUAGAGAUAGUCUUGCUUCUCGGGCAUAUUAAGUGCUCACUGAUAAGAAAAACAAGUAGAUAUCGCAUCACUAGGUAUGGAGAAAAACUGGAUGUCUUCUGCAAAGAAAAUUUCGUUAGUAACACAUUUAUACACAAAUAAGAGGAAUAGGUAGAACCGGUGAAUUUCAAAUUAACCAUAGGAAAAUUGCGAGAUUCUCGGGGUGCUUUUGAAAAAAUAGCUCCGUGAAAUCCGCAAAGCAAGAUCGGCUUUUGACGAAAAUAAUACUUUGAAAACGCCGAAAGUGCCGACAAACAUUAAUGGAGGCCACGUGAAGUUUUGGAAUCUGGAAAGAAAAAGAGAAUAUGGGGAUCCGAAAAGAUAUUGGGAUCCUGAAAAACUGUAGCCAUAUUUCCUCCUAUAGAUAUUGCCUUUGCAAAACUUGAUUGGAGCAACUGCGUUUCAACUUAACUUCCUUCAUUUUCUGAAACUUUAGUUUUCUUAAGACUUUCUUCGAAACCUUCUUAAAAAUGGCUUCCUCUUCUUCCUGCCCAAAUUAUUUCAAUUUAAAUGAUACUCCCACAACAACCAGUGACGCCAAAGUUUGGCGUCCAUCCUUUGUAUCCCAAAAUCGUCAUCUCACAGUUAAUGAUUCUGUGAUGAUGAAUGAUGCUACUGCUGUCAUAGUAGCUAGGAAUUUCAUUACUCCAAUGGAUGAAAUGCUGUUAACAGGGAGGUCUGAGGAAGAGGCUAUUGAUGACUCAAUGGCUUUUAGCAUUCAGUGUGCUGCUUCUGUUUCUAACAUGGCUGAUCGUUUGCGUGCUAGAGCAGACGAGGUUGAGAGGCUAACAACUGAAAAUUCGUCUCUCCAAAGAAUGCUUCAUGAGUCUCAACAGGAGGUUGAGAAACUUAAAGGAGAGAAUAAUGCCUUGUUGAAACUGGUGAGUUCGUACUCUGUUGAUACACUGAGAAGGCUAGACAUGCUGCAGGUCUCCAAUGAAAGAAUUUUGGGAGACCACGAGAGGCUCAUGGCUAAGCUUAAGAGGCGUCGUCCUCUUCCUUCAGAAGCUUCCAGAACAUAAUGUAAUUUUAUAGAUUUUACAGGGCCUGCACCUUCAUUGCAGGUGGAAAAAUCUAUCUGUUGUAUGUUCCUUUCAUGUUAUAAUAAUUGCGCACAUUCUUAAACUUGCACUUGUGGUUUUUUUUAUUUUUUUUUUAUACGUCUUUUCAAAAUGACGGUUUGGAACCUUGUGCCUUAUAGGUUCAAAUAACCACAUCGACUCUCCCAAAUUUCAUAUUUCAAUGUAUGGAACUUUUGGCCUGGGCUAAACACAAACUCAGAAUUUAUUCGCCCUUUUCAAAUGGACAUGAAAUAUGAAUAGAGUAAAAGCCAUGCUAAUAUCUCAUAUAUUUGGGUUCAUGAGCUUCCGGCCCAGAUAUAACAAAAUGUGAGGGGAGCCUCAAUUCAUCAUUCUCUUAUGCCAAAGAAAUAUGUGGCGUACCACAAUUUGCAAUAAUACCUCAAGGGUUGUCCAUUUAAUUGUUGGAACUUCAGGUUCUCAACACUGUUAGAUUUUGAACCUCAAGCUAAAAUCACAUGUUCUCAUGGUAUGGACAUUUUUAAAAUUUUCUGUACAUAUUUCUGGACUUCAAGCCCUUACAUAAUUGUCCAUAUCUUGAGGAACUUCUGGCAUCUCAUUUAAUUGCUCAUUCAUGAGUUUAAGGAACUGCAGGUUCCCUUUUUGAAUAGUGAUGGUUUACCCAAAAUGGUUAAUAUUUAUGUAUACGUUACUAUUCAUAUAUCCGGUACUAUUCAUCAAGUCAUGAAUACGUAUCUAUUCAUGUGUACAGUACAUUUGCCAGUACAGUUAUCAUCCAUGUGUACGGCAUUAUGAACCAAUACGGUACUGUUACAUCAUUAAGGAACCCCAGGUCCUUAUUUACAUGUCAGGGAUCAAGGACCCUCAAGUCCAAUCACAUGUUUACAAAUAUAGUACCGGAGAGACUGCCAGCUCUCAUAUCAACGUCAUCAUCAAGGAUCUUCAAGUCCUGAUGUAAUUGUAUGAUGAAGAUCAAGGAACUUCUGGUCCUGAUCUGCAUACUGUAAAAACUCAUCAUACAGCACAAUUAAUCCAUAAAAUAAAUUACAGGUAAAUAAAUUACUGGUAUGGACGAUAAACCCGCACCAUACUUUAAAUAAAUAUAAAUGUGCGGUAAAAUAAAUUUAUAAAUUAAAUUGCUUGCUGUAUGGACGUUAAUCCCGCACCAUACUUUAAAUAAAUGUAAAUGUGCGGUAAAAUAAAUUUAUAAAUUAAAAUAAAUGUAAAUGUGCGGUAAAAUAAAUUUAUAAAUUAAAUUGCUUGCUGUAUGGACGUUAAUCCCGCACCAUACCUUAAAUAAAAUUAAAUGUGCGGUAAAGUAAAUUCAUAAAUUAAAUUGCUUGUUGUAUGGACGUUAAUCCCGCACAAUACCUUAAAUAAAUGUUAAAUGUGCGGUAAAGUAAAUGUGCUUGUAUGGGUAUUAAUUCUGCUCCAUACAUUUAAAUAAAAGUAAAGGCGUGGACGAUAAACCCGCACCACCCUUUUAAAUAGAUAAUGUUGUAUGGGUAAUAAACCUACACCAUACAGUAAAUAAAAUAAAUGUGGGGAUAAAAACCACCACAAAAAAAUAUAGAAGGUGAAACUGUCCAUAUAAUUACCAUAUAUAAGGAUAAAGUAAAGACAAUUAUUUGUGCAUUCAUAUCAACACCACAAUCAAAUAAUAUGAUAUUAUUAUACUAAUAUAUUAGUGGAAAGCAAGACAUAUCAUGUUGGCUUUUCUUCUUUUCACUUGCAAUUAAGUUGAACUUGUUGUGUAGAGAAAUAAUAAAAUAAUAAAAAAAAGUAAGAGGCAUAGAGCUUAUCCUUACAGUUGGUUUGCUCGUAUAUCUCUCUUGCAGACCACAGCUCCUCCACUACUUUUCUUCCUUACAUCGACAUAAGGGUUAGUAGUAUAGAUAAUAGUGCAACACAAAAAUUAUACCUGAGAGCUUCUCGUGUUGAUAACGUGUUAUAAAAUAACUGGGAUAUGUGCGAAUAUUGAGCUGCACGUAAAGUAGAUGAGACACAGUAUUUAACGAGGUUCGGUUAUGCCUACGUCCUCGGAGAGCAGUAACAGUAACUUUUCACUAUGUAAAAUAAUAGGGCUACAACUUUGUGUUUACAAUAUGUAUGGCUCACUCAAUUUUCUCUCUUGGAGAAUUUCUCUCUUGCUCUCUUUCCUCUCAACUCACUCACCCUCAUUCUUCCUUCUCUUCCUCUUCUAUAUGUGUAAACUUCUCUUGAUGGAGGUAUCUAUUUAUAGGCCUAAGACAUUGGUUGUUCACCUCACAAUAUAAUUGGUAGACAACAUCAUUAAUAUUCUUCAAUCAACAACAUCAUUAAUAUUCUUCAAUCAAUUGGGUAGUGGUUUGGUUUGGUGGGUGUGUGGUUAGGUUUGGUGGGUGUUAGUUGGCUAUGUGGGCUUCACCUAUUCUUCUUUACUUAUUCUUCUUUACAACAAUAGCAUUAUUUUCUUUCCUUUUUCGGUUCGCACCUCCUUUUGUUCCGCUAAUCUCAUUUUAAAAUGAGUGCUGUUAUUUCCACCCACAUGUCAUAUUUUUUCACUCACUUUAUCUUCCCACCCACCAUAUAAAUUUGCAAAAGGUAAUCCUAUUUUUCCGCCCACCAUAAAAUAUCCUUUACGGUGCAUCCAGCCAUUGUUUUUGUAAAUCAUCCAUAAUCAAUGUAUGAAUUUAAAUACUGAACACGAGUUUGGGAGUUGUCUGUGUAGAUAGAAACUGAAGAAUUGAAACUAACUUCAAAUUUGGGAAGAGUUGAAAACCAUAAACAUUGCAUCACAAAUCCAAUGGCGGGUAACAAAUUUGUUUUCUUGUAUUUCAGUUUCUUUGUACUUUAGUUUUACAUUUUUUUUUGGGUGUUAGUGCUCAUGUGGUUUUCCUUUCUGGAAACCUAACUUUGUAUGAUCUAUCUGUCCUCUUCGUUAAUAAAGCCUACUUUGAUCAAAACAGAAAAUCCAAUAGCGGGUAACAAGAACUUGCAGAGAGAGAGAGAGAGGCUGAGGUCGGGUCAGUAAGGAGAUGGUGGGGGUGGGUGGCAGUGAGAUGGUGGGGUGCUAGGGUUUGGAGAGGGCUGUUAGGGAUGAGUGGGUUCAUUCAAAGAGAGAGAUGGGAGAAGAGAGAGCGAAAGAGGGAGACGGAUUAGGGAAGAAUGUGAAGUCUGGGGAUGAUUUUUUAUUUUUAUGAAAAGCUAGAGAUGAAUUUUCAAUUUUAAAGCUUUUCCCUUAGUUAAAGUUUUUUUUUUAAAAAAAAAAUAUUUACAUUUUACAUUUUAUAAAGGGGUAAAUUUGUCUUUAAAAUUUUGAAGAUAAGGUGAGUGGGGAAAUAAGAUAAGGGAGUGGAAAUAUCAGCACUCUUUAAAAUUGACCACAUGCCUUUCCUAUGCUUUACCUUUUUUUCUUAUUAUAAAAAAAGUGGCAGGAGUGUCACCUCUCCAAGCCGAGCACGGAUUAAGAGAAAGCUCUACUCAAGAGAUUCGUUACCACCCAUAAUUAAACUUAAUCUGCACAUAUCACCCUUAGCCACACAUUUUGCAAAUACAAUCUAUAAAUCAUACAUGAAAAACAAUAAAACAGAAAUUAAACUAAACUAAAUGACUAUGAAUAUACCGAUAGCGAGUGUAAUCGUCGUGGUGCAACAAACCAUGCUGCAUCUGAGCAGAUCAAGAGAUCCAAUACUGUAAAAAUCAAAUUAAAAAAGAAAGAAGACGACGAAGAUGUAGUGAUUUGAAAAACAAACGGAUCAGAGUGCAAACCGUUAAUGGAGAAUUUAGGGGAAAUCUGAUCGGCACUGUUUGACUAAGGGUAAAAGAAUCAUUUCACAAAGGGAUUAGGUCUUGAAAAUCACUUGAAAAAUAGUCACCGUUGCCAUAAUUGCAACAGCAGCAGUGGAUUUCUGGCCCAGUUUCUUUAUUGAGCUCCUUGAUAAUUCUUAUUGAAUUUACAGUUUCCAACACCUAAUAUGAGAAACAAGCUUCAAAAUCUCCUCAUCACGCUCAUCAAAACCCUCGCACUCCCUCACAUCCAGAAGCACAAGCUCUCUGCACUCCUUCAGCAACAUCACAAGAUCGUUCUUCUCCAGGCAUGAGAGCCUGAAGCACAGGUACUUCAAAUUAAAUUAUUUACAAUCAGAAAUAAAUUAUUAAAAACAAAUGCACAUACAAUUAAAGAUAAGAAUUCCCAUCGUUUAACCCAAAAAAAAAAAAAACAAAACAAGAAGCACCCAAACAAAUAACAUACUAGUUAGUCACAAUAAAAGUGACUUUUUGCCUUUUUUUCGUUUUUGGGUCCAUUCUGCCGACACCUACUUUUUAUUCUUCUUCUGCUCCUUUUCUCUUUCAUUUUCCUAUCACCACCAACGUUCAUCUUUUUCUUCUUCUUCUUCUUCAUAAAACCCAAACUCGAGGGUACUAUUCAUCACUCUAGAAGUCCAAUUUCGAAAGCUCAAAUAAAAAAACUUCAUUCAUCAAAGUUGUUCAUCUGUUCGAAUACUACAACAUACCCAAACAUGAGCAUCAUCAGACCGGUCUAGCUACCUCGAACCGGCUAUGACAUUUUUAUGUUUAUCCAUGGCUGGUGAGUUUUCUGCAGCUCGGUUUUCAACAGUUUUCUUUAAUCUCCAUUGCUUGUUUGACAAAACGUCCUUCUCUAAGGUUGUUCCUCAGUUGGAGAACUUUGACAUCCAAAAAUCAGAGCAAUCCAACUACUCUAACUAUGUCUGUGGUAAGCAUGUUCGUCACUUCCUCGGAUUCUGCUGUUAUCACUGUAAAGUACCUUAUUCACUCUUGUAUGUCACUUUUCCCUUGCUCAGAUGACAAUACUUCCUUCAUGAAGCUUGUUCAGAAUUCUUUU
rnacentral:lncRNA from 1 species